CAGCAGCCGCGGUAAUACCGGCGGCCCGAGUGGCGGUCACUAUUAUUGGGCUUAAAGCGUCCGUAGCCGGGUUGGGAAGUCCUCCGGGAAAUCUGGCCGCUUAACGGUCAGAAUGCCGGAGGAUACUCCCAGCCUAGGGAGCGGGAGAGGCCGAGGGGAUUCCCGGAGUAGGGGGGAAAUCCUAUAAUCCCGGGAGGACCACCUGUGGCGAAGGCGCUCGGCUGGAACGCGUCCGACGGUGAGGGACGAAGGCCAGGGGAGCAAACCGGAUUAGAUACCCGGGUAGUCCUGGCUGUAAACGAUGCGGACUUUGUGUCGGACAAGCUAUGAGCUUGUCCGGUGCCGGAGGGAAACCGUUAAGUCCGCCGCCUGGGGAGUACGGCCGCAAGGCUGAAACUUAAAGGAAUUGACGGG
rnacentral:rRNA from 1 species